CUGGGUGUGGCUCAGUGGCAGAGCACUGGCCUAGCAUGUGCAGAGGCCUAGGGCUUGACUCCUAGCACCCAGG
rnacentral:tRNA from 1 species